AAAGAUGACAAUAUCUGCUAGCGGUAGAGAGAAAGCCCAAAGAGGACAAUAUCUGCUAGUGGUAGAUUUUGGACGUUACAUUAUUGAGGUUAGAAAUUAUAUAAGGAAGUGGUGAUACUUGUUUGUUGUUUUUAUCCCUUCAAUAGAGUUUCAAUUAUUUUGAAUUGUCUCUUAUCUGGUUGUGUGGCAUCAAAGUUUGGGACGCAUGGAAACUUUGCCCAUCAAUUAACUAUCAGAUUUGAAUUACCUGUUCGUUAUGUUAGUAUGUAGUUCUGUUUUAAGGUCAAUAUCUAACUCUCAUUACUUCUCAUUGGAUGAGAGUUGCACGUACCCACUCAUUAAUGACGAUGUUUAGCUGACAGAAUGUCUAAUCACAUAAUCGUUUUUAUUCACUGAUGUCAGUUGUAUGUACAGAUCUUCAAUCUUCAGGUUCAUUGGGAUCUUCCAUUUUCAGAUGGCCUUUGCUUUUGUGGCUCGCAUAUGAUUGUUGACGAAGAAGCCGACACGAUGAAAUGGACGUUUCUUGGAAAUCUUUGGAAGUCUCCCAUGGACGAAGAAUAAAAUGGUCAAAGCUGAGAGGUAAAGUCACCCUGUAUGGAUUAUGGUUUUAGUAUUGGGACGGAUGAUUUCUUUCUUCAAAUUAGUUCAACCAUCCCUGACACUAAAUAAACUAUUGCUUGCCCCUUGAUUGAAGCAUCCAAGAAAAGUGGUCCUAAUAUUUCAAAAUCUAGUAUAAAACGAUCAGCCCCGUCAACAUCCUACUGUUGCGUGUCGGGAAAGUAGUCGA